AAUAACGGGUUCGUCACGUAAGAUAUCCGGACGGUAAUCGUAAAUCCCCUCAGCUUAUUUUCAUACAACUACUGGGCUGACGGAUACUGAGUCCGGAUGUCUUGGCUAGAUGAAUGACCAGCUCAGGCUUAAAGACUGGU
rnacentral:sRNA from 2 species